rnacentral:misc_RNA from 1 species
GUAUAAAUUUAUAGGCACAGAGGCCCGUUUAUUACAUUCUAUAACAUACAUUGGGGUAUAUGGAGAAACAUAGACCUGAAAAUAAAGAAAGACAGAAAAGUCAAUCUUCAAACCCAAAUGCUAGGCAUUCAGAAAGCUAUCCAGAUCUACAAAAGGUGCACAGGUGGAGAUAUAAAGAUGACAAGUGUGCACAUGCUCCCUAGAGAACCAGCAACAACCCAUCAGGUUUAUUUCAAUAAUGAUCCUUCCGCAGGUUCACCUACGGAAA